rnacentral:tRNA from 1 species
GCCCCAGUAGCUUAGUUCUAAAGCGCCGGUUUUGUAAUCCGGAGACCGGAGGUUAAAGUCCCCCCUGAGGCCC